UUUGUCCUACGGGGCGCAGCAGUAGGGAAUCUUCCACAAUGGGCGAAAGCCUGAUGGAGCAACGCCGCGUGAAGGAAGAAGGCUUUCGGGUUGUAAACUUCUUUUAUCAGGGACGAAGCAAGUGACGGUACCUGAUGAAUAAGCCACGGCUAACUACGUGCCAGCAGCCGCGGUAAUACGUAGGUGGCAAGCGUUAUCCGGAUUUACUGGGUGUAAAGGGCGUGUAGGCGGGAGUGCAAGUCAGAUGUGAAAACUAUGGGCUCAACCCAUAGCCUGCAUUUGAAACUGUACUUCUUGAGUGCUGG
rnacentral:rRNA from 1 species